ACUUUCUCUGGCAAAUGUGAGCAAAGGUCACAACUUUUAACAGCAAAGGGGAAACAUUCUCCAAGUUUCUUUUUCCGUGGCCUAUCAUGGAAAUACCAAGAUACGGAAGACAAAAUUUAACCAGAACUGGGAAAGCAAGAUAGCUCCACAGCUGAAAGAUUAGACAUCUCUCUGGGGGACCAGCUCUGUUCCACAGCCUGCUGGAAGGAGGAGAGGUCUCCAGGGGACAAGGGACAGGACUUCAGCCCCACAGGAGCACUCCGCUCCACGGAUGCACUCUCUCAGCAGGAAGAAGAUGGGGUGAUUCCUCAUUGCCACAGAAGGCAAACAAAAAAUAGCUUCUUACUUCAUCCGUCCUGGACUACCUUCCCAGCCCACUCCUUUGCCCUGGGUCUACAAGGCAGCCACCUAGGCCUGGGCGCUGUGGGUGUUUGAUCCCCUUUGAGCCUUGAUAAUUAUUUGAAAGGUUUGUGUCAAAUCCCAGCCUGAUGUGAUGAAAUAACUCGUUCCCAUUUGGAGAAUAAAACUAUUCCUGGUAGCUUUUUACGGCCUCGAUUAAAAGAUAGAAGUCAGCUAUGCCGAGAAUGAUUGCUGCAGACUUGGGAUAAGGCUUAAAUGGAAACCACAGGUUCAAGGGUGCCAGGGCCGGGAGGCCAAGCUCAGACUCUUGUUUUUUCUAAGGGGAAUGUCGGUAACAUAUGCUUUCCAUUGCUUCCCUUUUGACCAUUUACAUAUUGGGGGGCUGUGUGUUUGGCAGCAGAUCCUAUUUUUAGGAGUCCUUGAAAACCUUCCCUUUUUAACAGUUUUCAUUCUGGCACAUACCUGUGUUUUAAGCAGAAGGAAAACCCAAAUCCAAGAUAGGAAAAGAGAAACAUGUGUACAGACACGGGGGAUUUUAGCAGCCCUGGAGUCACACAAUAAGAAAGCAAUCAUUCAGCUACGACUUUAAAGAUGGAACGUUGCCCGAAUUUUCCGACUAUUUUCCUUCUAAAUGACUGUUUCUUUACAGAUCUAAACUAAUGUAAAGAGACAGGUUGUCCCCGUGCCAGGAGCGAACAAGCAAAGUAGGACAGAGGCUGUUUUUUAGGGAAGGAAUGUGGCAAGAUAAUGCCUGCUCUGUCUCCCGCAGCCACUCGCUCAGGCAGAGAUGGAAGAGGAUACUGCCUGCCCACGACCUGGUUGUGAGCACACGCUCCUCACCUGACUCUACGUAACCUACGUGACUGCGGUCCUAUUAUUUGCAAUCAGUAACAAAGAUUCAUCCUUGUGUCAAUCAUACAACACGGAGAGUCUUUGUCACUUAGUGUAAUUAAUAGCCUUCGCCUCGCAAGGGAAGAUGAGAGAAGGACGCUGUUCACACAUGCUGGGGUGUCCUUGGAGGGUGCUUCUCGUGGAUAAGCGCUGCCUUCCAACAUAGUAAGCCAAUGGAACUCCAGCUGCAGUGGGGAGGUCGUGGUGGGGGGUGGAGGUGAGGUAAGCUGAGUGUGUUUGGGGAGGCUGGGCAGGGAGCCCAGUCAGCAAGUGCUCAUUGAGGCCCUGAGCUCUGUCUCUGGAACCCACAUUAAAAGGCAUACAUGUGAUCCAAGCACUGGAGAGAAAGGAGACAGAUCCCUGGGGCUGACUGACCAGCCUUGCUAAAUCAGCAAGCUCUAGACCAGUGAAAACCCCAUCUCAAAGGCAGUGGACAGAGCCUGAGGAAUAAUACCCAAGGUUGACCUCUAACCUCCACAUGCACAAAUGCAUGUGUGCACACACAUACGUUUGCCUGUCCACACACUAACGUGCACAUAUGAACACUCAUGCACUGAAAGUGUAGCCUCUACAAGGGCCUACUGCAAACCAUGCUACCUAUUCACUCAGGAACCUGCCAGAGAAAGGUAAUAGGCUCAGACUUCAAAUAGACAGCACUGAGCACAGGCUUGAAGGGCCGAGGAGUGGUGUCCCUUACACAGUUGUUGUGCCAGUCAAUAAUUAAGACAAUCCCCUACAGACAUGUCCAAGGCCAGUCCGAGCUGAGCACUCCCUCACUGAGAUUUCCUUUUGAUGCAGGCAACCAUAGCCUGGGACAACUUUACAAUUUACUCCAACUUGGGCUAUGUGCUUCAUGACAAAUAUGCCAUUUUAUUAAAGAGGAUUCAUUGUGUA